rnacentral:rRNA from 1 species
CCUACGGGAGGCUGCAGUGGGGAAUAUUGGACAAUGGGGGGAACCCUGAUCCAGCCAUGCCGCGUGUGUGAAGAAGGCCCUCGGGUUGUAAAGCACUUUCAGUGAGGAAGAACGCCUGGUGGUUAAUACCCAUCAGGAAAGACAUCACUCACAGAAGAAGCACCGGCUAACUCCGUGCCAGCAGCCGCGGUAAUACGGAGGGUGCGAGCGUUAAUCGGAAUUACUGGGCGUAAAGCGCGCGUAGGUGGCUUGAUAAGCCGGUUGUGAAAGCCCCGGGCUCAACCUGGGAACGGCAUCCGGAACUGUCAAGCUAGAGUGCAGGAGAGGAAGGUAGAAUUCCCGGUGUAGCGGUGAAAAGCGUAGAGAUCGGGAGGAAUACCAGUGGCGAAGGCGGCCUUCUGGACUGACACUGACACUGAGGUGCGAAAUCGUGGGUAGCAAACAGGAUUAUAUACCCGGGUAGUC